UCAGAACUCAGGAAAAGACCCAGAUGCCGACAGCUAGAAUCAGAUGUUUAUUGACCCAAAUGGGGCAGGCAAAAGACAGGUGAAGGGCAGGCAGAGGUAGGUAAUCCAGGGCAGAGUCAAUAAGGUACAAAACAGCAGGGAGGCUCGGGGUCAGGGCAGGCAGAGGUUCGUAAUCCAGGGCAGAGUCAAUAAGGUACAAAACAGCAGGCAGGCUCGGGGUCAGGGCAGGCAGAGGUUCGUAAUCCAUGGCAGAUUCAGGCAGGUACAGAACAGCAGGCAGGCUCGGGGUCAGGGCAGGCAGAGGUUCGUAAUCCAGGGCAGAGUCAAUAAGGUACAAAACAGCAGGCAGGCUCGGGGUCAGGGCAGGCAGAGGUUCGUAAUCCAGGGCAGAGUCAAUAAGGUACAGAACAGCAGGCAGGCUCGGGGUCAGGGCAGGCAGAGGUUCGUAAUCCAUGGCAGAGUCAGGCAAGUAUAGAAUGGCAGGCAGGCAGAAUGUUCAGAACCGGGGAAACUAGGAAACAGAAACUUGAGAAAGCAGGAAGACGGGAAAGCACGCUGGUAAGACCUGACAAGACGAACUGGUAACAGACAACAAAGAACAAAGGUAUAAAUACACAGGGGAUAAUGGGGAAGAUGGGUGGAGAAAAGCACAACGACAGGUGAAACCGAUCAGGGUGUGCCACCUUUCUUAAUUAACCAGAUCUAAAACAAGGCCAAAGCAGGAAGUACAGUCGCCCUUUAAAACAAACUAAUGACAUGUUGCACCUCUACCUUGCUACCUUUCAGAUUAGCCAAGGAGGAGGACCGAUGAUAACAGAAGGCCAGUGGAGCACUUAGAACAGCAGCAGCUAGGGCAAAUGGUAGGGAAGAAGAUGAUUUAAGUGACCCAGACACAGUCCUAAAACAAGUUUAACUACCCCAGUAUCCCCUUGACCGUUUUGGAUUGUAAAACUAAAGACACACACGAGACAAGACACAGAAAGCAACAGAAGAGUAGAUGAUGCAGAGAGACACCAGACAAGACACAGAGACAGCAACAGAAGAGAAGGAUGUGAUGGAGAGAGAGACACCAGACAAGAAAAAGAGACAGCAACAGAAGAAUAGGAUGUGAUGGAGAGAGACCAGAAGAACAGAACAGGCCAUAACAGAAGAGGACAGACAAAGGAGACAGUAACAAACAAUAACCUGAGACAGCAACAGACAAGAUACAGAAGAGGGCAGAUGGAGAGAGAACAGAGGACAGGACGAGAGAAGAGGGUACACAAAGACAGCAACAGAAGAGGGCAGACAAGCGAGACAACAACAGACAACACAGAUAAAGCUAUGGAGAGAGGCAGAGGAGGCUUAUUGGACAGUUUGGCUCACUGGACAGAUCCAUGGAAGAUGCCAGAGUCAGAGAGGACAGAACUGUAGCGGAGAGGAAAACAGCGUCAGGGAAGGGAAAACAGUCACAACACGAAAACAGGAUCUAUGCAGGAACAAACGGCUAAAAACGCAGACUGACUGAGCAGAGGUUACGAUCUGGCAGCGUGGAAGUGACAGGGCUGAGUAUUUGGAGAGGUCUUGAUUAUGGAACAGGUUGCAGCUGAUGGGGAUCUGCUCUGCCUCCAGCACAGCUGUCUCCAUCCACACAAUCACACAGACACACACACACACACACACACACACACACACACACACACACACACACACACACACACACACACACACACACACACACACACACACACACACACACACACAGAGGGAAAGAGCACUGGGGGAGUGGCGGCAGGUUAGGGUAACACAGGAUGAGCAGUAGAGGGCUUGGCAGGCGCAGAUGUAACAACACCAUAGAGAGCAUCCUGACCAUCACUGCCUGGUAUGGGAAUUGCUCCGUCCACGACCGCAAGGCCCUUCAGUGGGUGGUGAAGAGAGCCCAGUACAUCACUAGGACCGUGCUCCCACCCAUCCAGGACAUCUACUCGAAACGGUGCCUGAGGAAGGAACACAGCAGCAUCAACGACCUAUCCUCGUGCAGACGGUAUCGAAGCAUGAGAUCUGAUUCCAACAGGCUCAGAUAAAGUUUCUAUCUACAAGCCAUAAGACUGCAGAACACUGGAACUGGCCUGACCACCUGCUCUGAUUGUUUGCACCUUAGCACACAUGCACACACUCAUGCACACACACACCUGCUGCUACCAGACUCUUAUUGUAUUGCUCAGUUUAUACACUUGCCCCCCCCCCCUUCCCUAAUGCAUGUGUAAAUAUUGGACUAUAAAUUGUGUCUUCCUGUAUUAGCCUUAUGCUAAAAUGUUAAUUUAUGUUCAUAUCUUUUAUUAUUUCUUAUUGUUGCAGUAACCUGAAAGUAAGCAUUUCAUUGGAUGAUGUUACCAUGCGUAUUACAUUUACGUUUUAGUCAUUUAGCAGACACUCUUUAUCCAGAGCAACUUACAGUAGUGAAUGCAUACAUUUCAUUUCAUGCAUUUUUUUUUUGUACAGUCCCCCCGUGGGAAUCGAACCCACAACCCUGGCAUUACACACACCAUGCUGGCAUUGCAAACACCAUGCUCUACCAACUGAGCCACAGCGUAUCCCAUACAUACGACUAAUAAAACUUGAAACUUAAUCUGGGGACAAAAUACCAAAUACCAAAAUACUUAAGAUUUAGCAUCUCUAAAAUUGUCUAAAGGAUUUAGGGUUAACUCCCCUACUGCAAAGUAUAGCCCCAGAAUUACUGCAAUAGAGUAUGCAUUAGUGCCAUCUUCCCAUUGUUAUCUGUAUAAGCAUAGCUGAAGUAGUCUUAACAUAAUGGCUAACGUUGAAGCCUGAAGGGGGUGAUUCCUAUGUUACAGUACUGUAAGCAUUAGGGGGUCCACCAGCGGGACACCUUCCAAGGGCUUGGGCUGAUUAACUUGAGGGUUAAACUCCUACCCCCGGUCCUCCAUGAUGGCUCGGGAUUAUCCCCGCUCACUGAUGGUCUGCUGGGAUUGGAAGAGGAAGGCCUGGCAGAUGGUGGGAGUGAAUUAGACCUUGCACGCUAGGAUGGAUAAGGCCC
rnacentral:lncRNA from 1 species